UACGUAGGGUGCGAGCGUUGUCCGGAAUUAUUGGGCGUAAAGGGCUCGUAGGCGGUUUGUCGCGUCGGGAGUGAAAUCCACUGGCUUAACUGGUGGCUUGCUUUCGAUACGGGCAGACUGGAGGUAUGCAGGGGAGAACGGAAUUCCUGGUGUAGCGGUGAAAUGCGCAGAUAUCAGGAGGAACACCGGUGGCGAAGGCGGCGACCUGGGUGGAUACUGACGCUGAGGUGCGAAAGCGUGGGGAGCAAACAGG
rnacentral:rRNA from 1 species